GGCGGCAUAGCCAAGUGGUAAGGCCAAGGUCUGCAAAACCUUUAUUCACCGGUUCAAAUCCGGUUGCCGCCUCCA
rnacentral:tRNA from 24 species